AACCGGGUCCCGUGCGGCGGAGCCCUGCAAACCCCGUCAGGUCCGAAAGGAAGCAGCGGUAGCAGUUCGCUCCGGGUGCCACGGGUCAACCCGGUUGCC
rnacentral:SRP_RNA from 1 species